rnacentral:lncRNA from 1 species
AACAGAUGAUUCCAGCCCUGUGCUGAUCGCCUGCCUUCCUCCUGCCAUUCAGAAUGCUGCUGUCUCGUGUACUUACUGUUAAGGAUCCUGGAAAAGGGAGUGGUUCCUCCUAGCUGCAAACAAGGGCGCUACUUUUCUUUUCUCUUUAAUAGAAUUACGUUUUAUAGGUGUGUCUAGGCAACACAAGGGAAUGUGAAAGACUUUCAGAGGGAAUGUUUGUGAAUACAUCUGGUGUGUACUAAAAAGCUGGAAAACCCCUAAGUAAAUGCAAUAUCGAUAGAAAGCGAGUUUCUUGAAGAGUCAUCUGCUAAACUCCACUAGAGUCAUCUCUACAAUAACAAUAUCAACUGAAUAUAAAAUAUUAAUGCCAUGGAUGAUCUCAGAAAUGAUUUCCUACAAAGUCCCAACCUAUCCUGGAACAUUUCUUAUGUGUGCUUGGGAGAUUGCAAGAGGACAACUCGGCUCUAAAAUCGAUGCAUUAACAUGUCAUUGGAAUUGACCUUGCCAAAAGAUGCCUCCCUAAAUCCACAAGAAUCUCCUUGUUUGAACACAGUUUCUAAUCCAGCUGUAAUGAAGACAGACAACAGUCAAAUUAACAACUGAUCAGGAGGAGAAGUUCAUACUCCUUGAGCUGGAUCUAUCUGCACAUGCACCUGGCCCAGGAAGCUGAAAUGGGAGAUCUGAUGAGCAGUGGAGGACUGAACCAAAGCCCUUGGCUUUUGCUCCAUACCAGUCAGAGUCUCAUCAGGAUAUCAUGUUGCAUUGAGUAGUCAUGUCUCCACAGGCUUUUCUUGGCUGCGACUCUUACUCACGUUUUCCUUGGUUUUGCCCACCUUACAGUUUACAGUAGUGGUCAGGUAUUUUGUAGUAUGUCCCUCACUUGGGCUUUGCUUGAUGCUUAUCUCCUGAGAAAACUAGGGAUAUGUAUUUUGGGGAGGAAGGCCACAGAGAUGAAGUGACAUUCUUUUCACAUCAUAUCAAUGCUACAUACUAUCAAAAGGGCUUAUCACUGUUGAUGUUAAUUUUAAUCACCUGGCUAAGAUAUUCUUUUUCAGGAUUUUGACUUUAAAGUUACCCUUUAUGCUUUUCCUUCUCAUAAAGUGCUCUUUGAAAUGAAGUCACUCUGUGCAGCAGACAUUUAAAAAGCAGGAAAUUAUGGUGACAGAGUAUCUGUAUAAAUUAUUUGCAGUUCUUUUAUUUUCAGAGUUUGGAAUUAUAGCACUCCUAUAAAUCUUAUUACUAAUGGUGCCACAAAUUGUGUACUACUGAUAUGUAUUAGUGCACAACUUAAAGCAUGUGGACAUGAGCUGUAUUUGAAAAAACAUUCAGAUGGAAGAGCUACCUGAUUUGAAGUGAAUCUUAAUUGGAACUUAAUGAUGCCUCCUAGUAAUUUACUAUUUUAGCUGAACCUACAGUAUCAGCUGUAGCCCAGAAAAUAUAAGAGCUACAAUUCGUACAAUUCAACAUCAGCUGCCAAGGCCCACCUGGACUGCACCUGCAAAACCAGCUGUGGUUUCUUUGCUCUCACAAUUCAUGUCAGUGUUUUUCAGCCAAUGCAUCACUGGUUUCGAAUUUUAUACUGUUCCUCUCUCAGUCCUCCACCCCUCUAGUUUCUAAAUGAUAGAGAAUAAUUAGGUGAGGUUUAAACUCUCAGGAUUAUUCAGGGUUUGUGGAGAGUAGGAAGGUUUCUUCCAGGUUACAGCACAAUUUAAGGAGCCUGGCAAGAAGCAUCCAAUAUUAGCAAGUAGAAAAGCAGCAUAAGUAUGAGGUUGGAACUUCCCACGAUACUUAGUACAUGGAAAAAAAUGUAGAACAUACCAAAAAAAAAGCAAAUUGUAAAAAAAUUUCACAAAUAAAAAUACUGUUAUGAAAAUUAUAAUU